rnacentral:rRNA from 1 species
UGGGGAAUAUUGCGGCAAUGGGCGAAAGCCUGACGCAGCGACGCCGCGUGAGGGAUGAAGGUCUUCGGAUCGUAAACCUCUGUCAGAAGGGAAGAAAGCAGCGCGCGCUAAUCAGCGCGUUGUUGACGGUACCUUCAAAGGAAGCACCGGCUAACUCCGUGCCAGCAGCCGCGGUAAUACGGAGGGUGCAAGCGUUAAUCGGAAUCACUGGGCGUAAAGCGCACGUAGGCUGUUGUGUAAGUCAGGGGUGAAAGCCCACGGCUCAACCGUGGAAUUGCCCUUGAUACUGCAUGACUAGAAUCCGGGAGAGGGCAGCGGAAUUCCAGGUGUAGGAGUGAAAUCCGUAGAUAUCUGGAGGAACAUCAGCGGCGAAGGCGGCUGCCUGGACCGGUAUUGACGCUGAGGUGCGAAAGCGUGGGGAGCAAAC